GAAAUAGCUCAGCUGGUUAGAGUGUGGUACUCAUAAUGCGAAGGUCGCAGGUUCGAUCCCUGUAUGGGACA